GUGAUCGCUUUGGCAGCACAUAUACUAAAACUGAAACAAUACAGAGAAUAUUAGCAUAGCCCCUGUGCAUUUGACUAUUACAAAGCAUACACUCCCACACUGGUU